rnacentral:rRNA from 1 species
CCCUUAGAUGUUCUGGGCCGCACGCGCGCUACACUGACUACUUCAACGAGUUGUUUCCUUGAUCGAAAGGUCUGGGUAAUCUUUGAAAGGUAGUCGUGAUGGGGAUAGAUCCUUGCAAUUUUUGAUCUUCAACGAGGAAUUCCUAGUAAACGCAAGUCAUCAGCUUGCAUUGAUUACGUCCCUGCCCUUUGUACACACCGCCCGUCGCACCUACCGAUUGAAUGGUCCGGUGAAUCUUUAGGACUGUGGCUGAGGCCUUGCCUUGUGCGGGUCUGGCCGUGGGAAUUUAGUUAAACCCUACCAUUUAGAGGAAGGUGAAGUCGUAACA